CUCAAAUCAGGUAGGACUACCCGCUGAAC
rnacentral:ncRNA from 2 species